rnacentral:rRNA from 1 species
CUCAGAACGAACGCUGGCGGCAGGCUUAACACAUGCAAGUCGAACGCUGUAGCAAUACAGAGUGGCAGACGGGUGAGUAACGCGUAGGAAUCUAUCCUUGGGUGGGGGAUAACGUCGGGAAACUGACGCUAAUACCGCAUGACACCUGUGGGUCAAAGGCGCGAGUCGCCUGAGGAGGAGCCUGCGUAUGAUUAGCUAGUUGGUGGGGUAAAGGCCUACCAAGGCGACGAUCAUUAGCUGGUCUGAGAGGAUGAUCAGCCACACUGGGACUGAGACACGGCCCAGACUCCUACGGGAGGCAGCAGUGGGGAAUAUUGGACAAUGGGCGAAAGCCUGAUCCAGCAAUGCCGCGUGGAUGAAGAAGGUCUUCGGAUUGUAAAGUCCUUUCGGCGGGGACGAUGAUGACGGUACCCGCAGAAGAAGCCCCGGCUAACUUCGUGCCAGCAGCCGCGGUAAUACGAAGGGGGCUAGCGUUGCUCGGAAUGACUGGGCGUAAAGGGCGCGUAGGCGGUUCGUACAGUCAGAUGUGAAAUUCCUGGGCUUAACCUGGGGGCUGCAUUUGAUACGUACGGGCUUGAGUGUGGAAGAGGGUCGUGGAAUUCCCAGUGUAGAGGUGAAAUUCGUAGAUAUUGGGAAGAACACCGGUGGCGAAGGCGGCGACCUGGUCCAUAACUGACGCUGAGGCGCGAAAGCGUGGGGAGCAAACAGGAUUAGAUACCCUGGUAGUCCACGCUGUAAACGAUGUGUGCUGGAUGUUGGGUGACCUAGUCACUCAGUGUCGUAGCUAACGCGAUAAGCACACCGCCUGGGGAGUACGGCCGCAAGGUUGAA